GACGAACGCUGGCGGCGUGCUUAACACAUGCAAGUCGAACGGAAAGGCCCUGCUUGCAGGGUACUCGAGUGGCGAACGGGUGAGUAACACGUGGGUGAUCUGCCCUGCACUUCGGGAUAAGCCUGGGAAACUGGGUCUAAUACCGGAUAGGAGCCAUUUUUAGUGUGAUGGUUGGAAAGUUUUUUCGGUGUAGGAUGAGCUCGCGGCCUAUCAGCUUGUUGGUGGGGUAAUGGCCUACCAAGGCGGCGACGGGUAGCCGGCCUGAGAGGGUGGACGGCCACAAUUGGGCUGAGAAACGGCCCAGACUCCCACGGGAGGCAGGAGGGGGGAAAAUUGCACAAUGGGGGCAAGCCUGAUGCAGCGACGCCGCGUUGGGGAUGGCGGCCUUCGGGGUGUAAACUCCUUUCGCUAGGGACGGAACUUUUUGUGACGGUACCUAGAUAAGAAGCACCGGCUAACUACGUG
rnacentral:rRNA from 1 species